rnacentral:rRNA from 1 species
CUACGGGACGCACCGGUGAGGAAUAUUGCACAAUGGGGGGAACCCUGAUGCAGCAACGCCGCGUGGAGGAUGACGCAUUUCGGUGUGUAAACUCCUUUUAUAUGUCAAGAAAAUGACGGUAGCAUAUGAAUAAGCACCGGCUAACUCCGUGCCAGCAGCCGCGGUAAUAUGGAGGGUGCAAGCGUUACUCGGAAUCACUGGGCGUAAAGGACGCGUAGGCGGGUUGGAAAGUCAGGUGUGAAAUCCUACAGCUUAACUGUAGAACUGCACUUGAAACUUCUAAUCUAGAGUAUGGGAGGGGGAGAUGGAAUUAGUGGUGUAGGGGUAAAAUCCGUAGAUAUCACUAGGAAUACCUAAAGCGAAGGCGAUCUCCUGGAACAUUAUUGACGCUAAGGCGUGAAAGCGUGGGGAGCAAACAGGAUUAGAUACCCUUGUAGUC